UUGAUCCUGGCUCAGGAUGAACGCUAGCUACAGGCUUAACACAUGCAAGUCGAGGGGAAACGAUAGAGAAAGCUUGCUUUUUCUAGGCGUCGACCGGCGCACGGGUGAGUAACGCGUAUCCAACCUGCCCAUCACUUGGGGAUAACCUUGCGAAAGUAAGACUAAUACCCAAUGACGUCUCUAGAAGACAUCUGAAGGAGAUUAAAGAUUUAUCGGUGAUGGAUGGGGAUGCGUCUGAUUAGCUUGUUGGCGGGGUAACGGCCCACCAAGGCGACGAUCAGUAGGGGUUCUGAGAGGAAGGUCCCCCACAUUGGAACUGAGACACGGUCCAAACUCCUACGGGAGGCAGCAGUGAGGAAUAUUGGUCAAUGGGCGAGAGCCUGAACCAGCCAAGUAGCGUGCAGGAAGACGGCCCUAUGGGUUGUAAACUGCUUUUAUAAGGGAAUAAAGUGGGAGUCGUGACUCCUUUUGCAUGUACCUUAUGAAUAAGGACCGGCUAAUUCCGUGCCAGCAGCCGCGGUAAUACGGAAGGUCCGGGCGUUAUCCGGAUUUAUUGGGUUUAAAGGGAGCGUAGGCCGGAGAUUAAGCGUGUUGUGAAAUGUAGACGCUCAACGUCUGCACUGCAGCGCGAACUGGUUUCCUUGAGUACGCACAAAGUGGGCGGAAUUCGUGGUGUAGCGGUGAAAUGCUUAGAUAUCACGAAGAACUCCGAUUGCGAAGGCAGCUCACUGGAGCGCAACUGACGCUGAAGCUCGAAAGUGCGGGUAUCGAACAGGAUUAGAUACCCUGGUAGUCCGCACGGUAAACGAUGGAUGCCCGCUGUUGGUCUGAAUAGGUCAGCGGCC
rnacentral:rRNA from 1 species